AAGAAAUAAGGCCAUUUGCAGCGCAAUUUUUUUUGUUGUAAUUAAAAUCGCUGCAAUAGGUAUCUUUUAGCAACGAUUUUAUAUCUCCUUGCAAUUUUUCCAUAAAAAUAUGCGGUUUAAGUGGGGCGGUCACUAACUUUGUCUUUUGCAGCAAUUAUUUACUUAUAGUGGCGAAAAUAUAUGUUGCAACAAGAAAAAGAAAUAAGCAAUGGGGCAUUAUCGUUGCUUUUCGUCUGGGCGCCAACUUACACAAUUUACUUUCAUUUUUCCCCCCGAAAUCAUACCUCUCUGAAUGAACCACCAGCCCCUUCUCCGCUUCCUCAUUCUUGUCGAUUUCUCCUUCCAACAAAUGCCCAGGUCACCAACUUGAUUCACACGGCUGGAAAUCUACCUCCAUUGUCGAUUACGUCCAGAACCCUAAUACAUCCCCUUCAUUUUCCUUCCGUGGAAGCUACGGAAUCGUUUCCUCCUCCAUACGACCUUUGUUCCUCGGUCAUUACUACUAAUUAAACUAUUUCCUUAACCGAUUGCAACAAGUAUCAGAGGUUGCCGUUCUCGAGCGAGGAUCAGUGCGGUCGCUCAUCAUUCUCGAAAUCAUCUAUAGACUAGCUUCCCCAAAACCCAAGAACUUAUAUGGGCCAAUUCAUAGGCUAGGAUUAAGAGUGCAAUUCAUGCCCUUGGUGUUGAGACUGUAAUAUUUGAUGAUAAGCUUUCAGCUGGG